UCGACUUGCGGAAGGAUCAUUA
rnacentral:rRNA from 1 species